rnacentral:rRNA from 2 species
CCUACGGGAGGCAGCAGUGGGGAAUAUUGGACAAUGGGCGAAAGCCUGAUCCAGCCAUGCCGCGUGUGUGAAGAAGGUCUUCGGAUUGUAAAGCACUUUAAGUUGGGAGGAAGGGCAUUAACCUAAUACGUUGGUGUUUUGACGUUACCGACAGAAUAAGCACCGGCUAACUCUGUGCCAGCAGCCGCGGUAAU